rnacentral:rRNA from 1 species
AGGGAAUCUUCCGCAAUGGACGAAAGUCUGACGGAGCAACGCCGCGUGAACGAUGAAGGUUUUCGGAUCGUAAAGUUCUGUUGUUAGGGAAGAACCGCCGGGAUAACCUCCCGGUCUGACGGUACCUAACGAGAAAGCCCCGGCUAACUACGUGCCAGCAGCCGCGGUAAUACGUAGGGGGCAAGCGUUGUCCGGAAUUAUUGGGCGUAAAGCGCGCGCAGGCGGCUUCUUAAGUCAGGUGUGAAAGCCCACGGCUCAACCGUGGAGGGCCAUCUGAAACUGGGAAGCUUGAGUGCAGGAGAGGAGAGCGGAAUUCCACGUGUAGCGGUGAAAUGCGUAGAGAUGUGGAGGAACACCCGUGGCGAAGGCGGCUCUCUGGCCUGUAACUGACGCUGAGGCGCGAAAGCGUGGGGAGCGAAC